AUAAAAAUCUUAAAACAGGAUGACGUUAUUCUCAAUUUUAAUGUCCCAUUUUGAAGAGAAAUGUUAGGGUUUAUUCUCAUCGGUGUUGGUGAAAAUUGAAGCAUCGGUGUUCUCAUCGAUUGUUACCCUUUUGCUUCUCUAAAGUACAAUUAGAGUCACUGGGCCGAUCCUUUUGAGAUCUGUGUUUAAUAAAGGUUGAUUUGGUUCCAGUUUUGGUGGUUAUCAAUUGGCUUAAAUCCACACUAAGUUAGAGUCUUCACUGAAGCAGUCCUUAGAGGACUCUGCAGCUUCGUACCGACUGAGGAGUUUUAUUCGCAUCUUGUAAUUGAUACAGCCCCACUAUCCUCCAACUGUAUACCGAUACUUUCAGCACCAUCCAAAUCUGAUAUGAUGUUGACAAAGAUGAAAUUGGAGAGACAGUUGCUACAUUCUCUUCAAGUCAGAGCCUUUUCAGUAUUUUCCCUGCAAAGGAUAAACAACAGGUGGAUCACAAGGAACCAUUACAAGCUGUUGUACAUGGUCAUUUUAGGGCUCUCGUCUUACAGCUAUUGCAAGGAGAAUUAUACAUUUUGGGAAAGAAAGCAUUGCUGAUGGCUGGCUUGACAUAGUUACAUCACUAGCAUCGCAAGCUGCAAAUUAUCUGAAGCCCAAUACUAGUAAAGGAGGCAACAUGGAUUCAGUUGAUUAGGUUAAGGUUAAGUGCAUAGCUUCAGGAAGCCGAAGUAAAAGCACCCUUGUUAAAGGAUUAAUUUGUACUAAGAAUGUCAAACACAUGCGCAUGACUUCACAGCACAAAUGCCCGAUUACUUAUCUUAGGAGGAGCACUUGAGUACCAAAGAGUUGCCAAUCAGUUGGCAUCUUAUGACAUCUUAUUGCAACAGGAAAAGGAGCAACUCAAGAUGAUCGUUUAAAGAAUAGAGGCUCAUCAUCCUAAUGUGCUACUUGUGGAGGAAAGUGUUUUCAUAUGCCCAGGAGCUUGUAUUGGCAAAAGGAUCUCUUUGGUGUUAAACAUUAAGGCUCCACUGCUAGAGCGAGUAUCCAGGUGUAUUGGUGCGGUCUAAUAACCCCAUCCAUUGAUAACAUAGACACAACAAAAUUGGGACACUAUGAACUCUUUCAAUUAGAAAAGGUCUCUGAAGAGAAUGAACAUGCCAACCAGUUGAACAAGAAGCCAUCAAAAUCUCUAAAUGAUUGUCCAAGGCAUUUAGGUCUUGUUGAGGGGAUCAUGUCGUGAAGAGCUCAAGAAGCUGAAGAGGGUUGUUUAUCAGAUGCUAUGUGCUCCAUUAUAGAGCUCAAUUGGAAGGCUUAAUGACAUUAUUGCUGUAUCUCUUUAGCUUAUAUGCACUGUUACUCCUACCUCAAGCAAUAUGGAAGAAUCACAUAAUAUGUUAAAGUUUGCAAGCAAGGCUAAGCAUGUCGAGAUUUAUGCAUCUCGCAUCAAGAUUAUUGAUGAGAAAUUACUGAUCAAGAAAUAUUAAAAAGAGAUAUCUUCUCUCAAGCAAGAGCUUGUUCAUCUAAUAAGGGGAAUGCUUGUAGGAGUCAAUCAUGAUGAAAUUAUAACCUUGAAACAACAGGUAUGUACUCUGUCCGUUUAACUUUAUAUGACGGAGUUUGUCUCAUCAAAUAGUUUAAGAAAGAUGAGAGACUUUUGACGCAUAAGCUAAAACCAUUAACAUCCCCAAAAUACCUUUGUAUCUUGUGGUCAAAGAGUUUAUGUCCAUUCUACAAUAGCACGUCAUUAAGGGAAAAAUGACAAUUUUAAAUUAAUGAUUUUCAAUAAUGAAAAAGUGUCAAUUGUCUUGGAAUGGACCAGAAAAGAGAGAUUUGAAUGUUUAGUGGCUCGAUCAUAGGGUGUAAUUGGUUAUGUUAUGUUAUUUAUUAACAAUCUUUUCAAAGUUGGAAGAGGGACAAGUGAAGAUACAGUCAAGGUUGGAAGAGGAGAAGGAUGCCAAGGCUGCUCUACUGAGCCGGAUACAGAAGCUAACUUAAUUGAUCCUUGUUUCUUCGAAGAAUUCAAUUACUGAGAGUCGGUUUUCUUCUAAAGAUGAUGCAAACUUCCCUCUCUAUUUAUCUUAGAGUUCUGUUUCUAUUUCCUAUUAUUUGCCCACUAGAACUCUAGGUAAUCAUUUCUGAAUUUGGAUUUUAGGGACAUCCGAUGUGUUUGCUAUUUGCAAGACUUUUUCCUCCUCCUUUAAGUUGCUUUGCGUGUUGAAAAUGUUUAUUUAUUAGAACUGCUCUCCUUAUCAUCUAUAUAGGGAUUUUAAGACUGGGACUCUCUUUCAAGAGCCUAAAUUAAGUUUUUGUUGUUUCUGUUGCAUUCUAUUACUAUUUUGUAUCCAAUUUUCUGGCAUCUACCCUGAGCAACAACAACAACAACAUACCCAGUGUAGUCUCACAAGUAGGGUCUUGGAAGGGUGGAGUGUACGCAUAUAGUGAUAUAGAAUCAUCUUUUAUUUUCACCUUCAAGGAUAAGAUCUAUUUCCUAAAUUAAUCUUUUUAUUUUUCACCCUUUGCAUUAGAAAUUGAAUGGUUCUGUGCCCAUAGACAGCAAGAUCCAAAGAGAUGCUUCAUCAGAGACUUCUGAUUUCAACCACGAAAGAUCUUCUAGCAAGUUGAAUGAUGAUAUCUCAAAAGCUUGCAGUGUGAUUAUCGACUCAAGUCAGGCUGGUUAAAUUGUCAAUUGUUUAGGGCUUUCGAUUGUAUGUUUCCUCCUUCUUAAGACCUUCUAAAGGAGGAGACUUCUUAAUUUGAAAUUAUAUUUUGAUCCACCUGUAGUUUAAUGUUUACUCUGAUAGCAAAGGUCCUUGUCCUUGCAUGGAGUUUGAAUUUUUGAUAUUUAUAUGUUAGUUUCAAGUAAUGAAUUUUCAAACUUUCUUGGAUACUUACAUUGGAUUAUGUUCACAAGUUAUCUUUGGAUUGACUCAAUUGAGAAGUUAUUACUUUUCUUUCAAAUCUAGUCUUUUGCAUUAGUACUUUUUCUUUCAGAUGACUACUUUUUAUGUAAUGUAUAUUUUCCAUUACAUAUCAAAUGGCAAUUCCUUCAACUUUUAAUAUUUUGUUUGUCUUUCUUGUUGAACAUAGGGAGCGGUUUCAUUGUCAGUUCAGAUGGACCUCCUCGUUGAGCAAGUCAAGAUGCUUGCUGGAGAGAUUUCACUUAGUAUGAGUACAUUGAAACGAAUGAUAGAGCAGUCUGUAAAUGAUCAUGAGAAUUCAAAAACUCAUUCUGAAGUAAGCUUUAUUUUUUAUUUGUGGGUUGAAUACUUCAUACAUAUGAUGGUUAAAACUAUGAUAUCUAUAAGAAAAAACCUCUCUACUUCCGCAAAUAUGAGGGUAAGGUCUGCAUAUACUCUACCCUCCCCGGACCCCACUUGUUGGAUUACAAUGGGUUUGUUGUUGGACUGAAUCCUUCUUCAACAUAGGAUGGUUAAUAAUACAAUGAUGCGUGUAUGGUUGCUAAAGCAACAUAUUGGGUCUCUCUUUAAUAUUAUGCUGCUAUAGUUUGCAGUCAACAAUCUUCUCUCAAAUUUAUAAACAUUUAGAUAUAUAUUGUUUGAAUUCCAAUAAAAUUAUAUUUGAUGUUUCCUCGAAAAAUGGCAUUGUGUUAGUAUAUUUUCUAGCUUGUGAAACUUGAUUCACUUCAACAUCUUCAGUGUACUUUCUUUUUCUCUCAAUUCUUUUCCGAUUGAGAUGUAUAGAUCCUGUUCAUGGAUUAAUGAAAAAAUUCCUAGACAUGUUAAUCCUUGAUUAAUGUGUGUGAUUUUAUUGUUAGGCUAUUGCAUUUGUUUGAUUUUCAUGAAAACAACUUAUUGUUUGAACUUUUGUACAUAGCUGUCACCUGUUUUUAAGAUCUUCACCCACCGUAUGCCUAAUCUUGUAACGGAUUCAGUGUUUGUUGUUUUUAUGAUCUUCACCCACCGUAUGCCUAAUUUUUUGUUUCAUUAUAAAUGUGUAGGAUCAAUGCAGGGAUCAAAUUUGAAUGAUGGACGCUACAACACAACUUAUCUAGAUUAAAGUGAAUGAUGAAUUUUCGAAAUAUUUUGAUAUACUUUUAUAUACAUUGGGUUUUGUGUGGAACUUGGUACAAAUUUUUAUAAUGUUGUUUUCUAAUUAGUAUGUAAAAGAAAUGUUAUUUUGAAAUCAGAUCUAUGCAUUUCAAUUAUUAA